CCACUAUAGUGCCAGGAAAACAAACUUGUUUUCCUGGCACUAUAGUGCCCUGAGGGUGCCCCCACCCCCAGGGUCCCACUCCCGUGGCGCUGAAGGUGGAGGAAGGGGAUAAUCCCUUACCUUUUUUCCAGUGCCGGGCUCCCUCGGCGCUGGGACUCUCCUCCCUCUUCUGACGUGCCCAGUGAUCCAAGUAGAGACAGGACCUAAAAAUCUGGACUAUCAAAUCUAAAUCAUGAUGAUUGGGAGGCAUGCAAUCCAGGGCAGUCCAAUAAAA